UUGGCAAGUCCUCUUGGAACUGGGGAAUCCUUUGUGUUGAUUGUAAAGACUUUUACAUGGCGUAUCAUAGAAUUCCCCCGUACCGAGUGGUCUUGUAAA
rnacentral:pre_miRNA from 1 species